rnacentral:lncRNA from 1 species
AAGGGAAAACAAUGAGCUAUGAGAUGGAUGAAAAAGAACAAAGUUAGGGUAUGUUUUAGAACAUACAAAAAAACAAAUUUAGACAAAAGAACUAAGUUGAGACACCAGAAUAAAGAAAAGUAAUACACUAAACUAAGUCAAUGAAAGGUGUACUAAAAGGAAAUGUAAAUGAAAAAGAAAAUAGGUUGCAAGAAAGGAAAAACAAGGUUGGAGCAGACACUGACUCUAGGCACAUGCAUGUUUUUGUUUUCCCUUUUAGCAAUGAGUCUUGCUCAUCUUGUAAAACAUAGUCCUUUGAUACCCC